rnacentral:rRNA from 1 species
GACGAACGCUGGCGGCGUGCUUAACACAUGCAAGUCGAACGAAAAGAGGGAAAGAGCUUGCUCUUUCCGGAAUUGAGUGGCAAACGGGUGAGUAACACGUAAACAACCUGCCUUCAGGAUGGGGACAACAGACGGAAACGACUGCUAAUACCGAAUAAGUUCCAAGAGCCGCAUGGCCCAUGGAAGAAAAGGUGGCCUCUACCUGUAAGCUAUCGCCUGAAGAGGGGUUUGCGUCUGAUUAGCUGGUUGGAGGGGUAACGGCCCACCAAGGCGACGAUCAGUAGCCGGUCUGAGAGGAUGAACGGCCACACUGGAACUGAGACACGGUCCAGACUCCUACGGGAGGCAGCAGUGGGGAAUCUUCCGCAAUGGGCGAAAGCCUGACGGAGCAACGCCGCGUGAGUGAGGACGGCCUUCGGGUUGUAAAACUCUGUGAUCCGGGACGAAAAGGCAGAGUGCGAAGAACAAACUGCAUUGACGGUACCGGAAAAGCAAGCCACGGCUAACUACGUG